UACGUAGGUGGCAAGCGUUGUUCGGAAUUACUGGGCGUAAAGGGCGCGUAGGCGGCCUUCUAAGUCAGACGUGAAAUCCCUCGGCUCAACCGGGGAACUGCGUCUGAGACUGGAAGGCUUGAAUCCGGGAGAGGGAUGUGGAAUUCCAGGUGUAGCGGUGAAAUGCGUAGAUAUCUGGAGGAACACCGGUGGCGAAGGCGGCAUCCUGGACCGGUAUUGACGCUGAGGCGCGAAAGCCAGGGGAGCAAACGGG
rnacentral:rRNA from 1 species